rnacentral:rRNA from 1 species
AUUGAACGCUGGCGGCAGGCCUAACACAUGCAAGUCGAACGGUAACAGGAAGAAGCUUGCCUCUUUGCUGACGAGUGGCGGACGGGUGAGUAAUGUCUGGGAAACUGCCUGAUGGAGGGGGAUAACUACUGGAAACGGUAGCUAAUACCGCAUAACGUCGCAAGACCAAAGAGGGGGACCUUCGGGCCUCUUGCCAUCGGAUGUGCCCAGAUGGGAUUAGCUAGUAGGUGGGGUAACGGCUCACCUAGGCGACGAUCCCUAGCUGGUCUGAGAGGAUGACCAGCCACACUGGAACUGAGACACGGUCCAGACUCCUACGGGAGGCAGCAGUGGGGAAUAUUACACAAUGGGCGCAAGCCUGAUGCAGCCAUGCCGCGUGUAUGAAGAAGGCCUUCGGGUUGUAAAGUACUUUCAGCGGGGAGGAAGGGAGUAAAGUUAAUACCUUUGCUCAUUGACGUUACCCGCAGAAGAAGCACCGGCUAACUCCGUG